rnacentral:rRNA from 1 species
GAACGCUAGCUACAGGCUUAACACAUGCAAGUCGAGGGGCAGCAUGGUCUUAGCUUGCUAAGGCCGAUGGCGACCGGCGCACGGGUGAGUAACACGUAUCCAACCUGCCGUCUACUCUUGGACAGCCUUCUGAAAGGAAGAUUAAUACAAGAUGGCAUCAUGAGUCCGCAUGUUCACAUGAUUAAAGGUAUUCCGGUAGACGAUGGGGAUGCGUUCCAUUAGAUAGUAGGCGGGGUAACGGCCCACCUAGUCUUCGAUGGAUAGGGGUUCUGAGAGGAAGGUCCCCCACAUUGGAACUGAGACACGGUCCAAACUCCUACGGGAGGCAGCAGUGAGGAAUAUUGGUCAAUGGGCGAGAGCCUGAACCAGCCAAGUAGCGUGAAGGAUGACUGCCCUAUGGGUUGUAAACUUCUUUUAUAAAGGAAUAAAGUCGGGUAUGGAUACCCGUUUGCAUGUACUUUAUGAAUAAGGAUCGGCUAACUCCGUGCCAGCAGCCGCGGUAAUACGGAGGAUCCGAGCGUUAUCCGGAUUUAUUGGGUUUAAAGGGAGCGUAGAUGGAUGUUUAAGUCAGUUGUGAAAGUUUGCGGCUCAACCGUAAAAUUGCAGUUGAUACUGGAUAUCUUGAGUGCAGUUGAGGCAGGCGGAAUUCGUGGUGUAGCGGUGAAAUGCUUAGAUAUCACGAAGAACUCCGAUUGCGAAGGCAGCCUGCUAAGCUGCAACUGACAUUGAGGCUCGAAAGUGUGGGUAUCAAACAGGAUUAGAUACCCUGGUAGUCCACACGGUAAACGAUGAAUACUCGCUGUUUGCGAUAUACUGCAAGCGGCCAAGCGAAAGCGUUAAGUAUUCCACCUGGGGAGUACGCCGGCAACGGUGAAACUCAAAGGAAUUGACGGGGGCCCGCACAAGCGGAGGAACAUGUGGUUUAAUUCGAUGAUACGCGAGGAACCUUACCCGGGCUUAAAUUGCAGAUGAAUUACGGUGAAAGCCGUAAGCCGCAAGGCAUCUGUGAAGGUGCUGCAUGGUUGUCGUCAGCUCGUGCCGUGAGGUGUCGGCUUAAGUGCCAUAACGAGCGCAACCCUUGUUGUCAGUUACUAACAGGUUCCGCUGAGGACUCUGACAAGACUGCCAUCGUAAGAUGUGAGGAAGGUGGGGAUGACGUCAAAUCAGCACGGCCCUUACGUCCGGGGCUACACACGUGUUACAAUGGGGGGUACAGAGGGCCGCUACCACGCGAGUGGAUGCCAAUCCCAAAAACCUCUCUCAGUUCGGACUGGAGUCUGCAACCCGACUCCACGAAGCUGGAUUCGCUAGUAACCGCGCAUCAGCCACGGCGCGGUGAAUACGUUCCCGGGCCUUGUACACACCGCCCGUCAAGCCAUGGGAGCCGGGGGUACCUGAAGUGCGUAACCGCGAGGAGCGCCCUAGGGUAAAACUAGUGACUGGGGUGA